GUUACUUAAAAAUGCAAGCGACACAAAAUAAUUAACUUACCUAGCGAAUGCCGGAUGAAAAAUUUACACUAAAAUUAUGACAACAUUUAGACAUUAACCUUUUUGUGAGUACUAACGUGGUUAAAGAAAAUUUAUUUGAAGGUUUUGUUCAAUAGAAAAUGUGAUAUAUGAGCAAUUUCAAAAAAGCCGCCAAAUUAUAAGAAAUGUACGUUAUUUAAUGAACCGAUGUUAGGCUAAAACUACCGAAUUUAGUCGACGAAACACAGAGAAGUUUUAUAAAUGGGUUACAACAAUACAAAAAUUUUACCAAUU